rnacentral:rRNA from 1 species
AGCUUCCGUUGAUGACGUGCUUGCACUGAUUUCAACAAUGAAGCGAGUGGCGAACUGGUGAGUAACACGUGGGAAAUCUGCCCAGAAGCAGGGGAUAACACUUGGAAACAGGUGCUAAUACCGUAUAACAACAAAAUCCGCAUGGAUUUUGUUUGAAAGGUGGCUUCGGCUAUCACUUCUGGAUGAUCCCGCGGCGUAUUAGUUAGUUGGUGAGGUAAAGGCCCACCAAGACGAUGAUACGUAGCCGACCUGAGAGGGUAAUCGGCCACAUUGGGACUGAGACACGGCCCAAACUCCUACGGGAGGCAGCAGUAGGGAAUCUUCCACAAUGGACGAAAGUCUGAUGGAGCAAUGCCGCGUGAGUGAAGAAGGGUUUCGGCUCGUAAAACUCUGUUGUUAAAGAAGAACACCUUUGAGAGUAACUGUUCAAGGGUUGACGGUAUUUAACCAGAAAGCCACGGCUAACUACGUGCCAGCAGCCGCGGUAAUACGUAGGUGGCAAGCGUUGUCCGGAUUUAUUGGGCGUAAAGCGAGCGCAGGCGGUUUUUUAAGUCUGAUGUGAAAGCCUUCGGCUUAACCGGAGAAGUGCAUCGGAAACUGGGAGACUUGAGUGCAGAAGAGGACAGUGGAACUCCAUGUGUAGCGGUGGAAUGCGUAGAUAUAUGGAAGAACACCAGUGGCGAAGGCGGCUGUCUAGUCUGUAACUGACGCUGAGGCUCGAAAGCAUGGGUAGCGAACAGGAUUAGAUACCCUGGUAGUCCAUGCCGUAAACGAUGAGUGCUAAGUGUUGGAGGGUUUCCGCCCUUCAGUGCUGCAGCUAACGCAUUAAGCACUCCGCCUGGGGAGUACGACCGCAAGGUUGAAACUC